rnacentral:rRNA from 2 species
CUUGGUCAUUUAGAGGAAGUAAAAGUCGUAACAAGGUUUCCGUAGGUGAACCUGCGGAAGGAUCAUUACCUAGAGUUGUAGGCUUUGCCUGCUAUCUCUUACCCAUGUCUUUUGAGUACUUACGUUUCCUCGGCGGGUCCGCCCGCCGAUUGGACAAUUUAAACCAUUUGCAGUUGCAAUCAGCGUCUGAAAAACUUUAAUAGUUACAACUUUCAACAACGGAUCUCUUGGUUCUGGCAUCGAUGAAGAACGCAGCGAAAUGCGAUAAGUAGUGUGAAUUGCAGAAUUCAGUGAAUCAUCGAAUCUUUGAACGCACAUUGCGCCCCUUGGUAUUCCAUGGGGCAUGCCUGUUCGAGCGUCAUUUGUACCUUCAAGCUUUGCUUGGUGUUGGGUGUUUGUCUCGCCUCUGCGUGUAGACUCGCCUUAAAACAAUUGGCAGCCGGCGUAUUGAUUUCGGAGCGCAGUACAUCUCGCGCUUUGCACUCAUAACGACGACGUCCAAAAGUACAUUUUUACACUCUUGACCUCGGAUCAGGUAGGGAUACCCGCUGAACUUAAGCAUAUCAAUAAGCGGAGGA